rnacentral:RNase_P_RNA from 2 species
CGGAGGAGAAGUGAUGGCCGCUCCUCCCGGGAUCCGGGAGGAGAGGAAAGUCCGAGCUCCACAGGGCAGGGUGGUCCGUAACGCGGACUGCCCCCGAUUUCCGGAAGCGGAAUUCGGGGGCAAGGAAAGUGCCACAGAAAAGAUACCGCCCCGAUAUUCCACGGGGUAAGGGUGAAAAGGUGAGGUAAGAGCUCACCAGUAUCCCGAGUGAUCGGGGUAGCUUGGUAAACCCCACCCGGAGCAAGGCCAAAUAGGUCCCGCUCCCCAAGAGGGAAAGAGCUGCCCGUUCAAAUUUCUCCUGACAGGGAAAGGCGGGACGGGUAAGGCCGCUUGAGACCUUGAGCAAUCAGGGCCCUUAGAUAAAUGGCCAUCGUCCCGACCGGAGACGGCGGGAUACAGAACUCGGCUUACGGUCUCCUUCGACUU